UGCCAGCCGCCGCGGUAAUACGGAAGGUGCAAGCGUUAUCCGGAAUCACUGGGUUUAAAGGGUGCGUAGGCGGAUUAAUAAGUCAGAGGUGAAAGGUACCAGCUUAACUGGUAAAUUGCCUUUGAAACUGUUAGUCUUGAAAUAGGUUGAGGUUGGCGGAAUGUGGCAUGUAACGGUGAAAUGUGUAGAUAUGCCAUAGAACACCGAUUGCGAAGGCAGCUUACUAAGUUAGUAUUGACGCUAAUGCACGAAAGCGUGGGGAGCGAACAGGAUUAGAUA
rnacentral:rRNA from 1 species